CCUGCUCCAUGAAGUCAAAUAUCACAAGCAGUGCUUUUAAAAGCAAAACAUGUCAGUUAUGGAGAUGUAGAGAUACAUUAUUGAUGUUUGUGUAAAUAUUUGGACA